UCGAGGAUCUUUCGCAAUGGGCAAAAGCCUGACGAAGCGACGCUGUGUGAAUGAUGAAGGCCUUCGGGUUGUAAAAUUCUUUAGCUUGGGAACAAGAGAGGGUUGUGAAUAACAAUCCAAUUUGAGGGUACCAGGUAAAUAAGCACUGGCUAACUACGUGCCAGCAGCUGCGGUAAUACGUAGGGUGCGAGCAUUAAUCGGAAUUAUUGGGCGUAAAGGGCGCGUAGGCGGGGAUAUAAGUCAGAUGUGAAAUUCCAAAGCUCAACUUUGGAGCUGCAUUUGAAACUAUAUCUCUCAGAGGAGUGGCGGAGAAAGCGGAAUUCCACGUGUAGCGGUGAAAUGCGUAGAUAUGUGGAAGAACACCGGUGGCGAAAGCGGCUUUCUAGCUUAUACCUGACGCUGAGGCGCGAGAGCAAGGGGAGCAAACAGGAUUAGAUACCCCCGUAGUCCCUGAGCGGGCUGGCAAGGCGCAU
rnacentral:rRNA from 1 species